rnacentral:rRNA from 1 species
AACGAACGCUGGCGGCAUGCCUAACACAUGCAAGUCGAACGAGACCUUCGGGUCUAGUGGCGCACGGGUGCGUAACGCGUGGGAACCUGCCCUUAAGUUCGGAAUACCUCCCCGAAAGGUGUGCUAAUACCGGAGAAUGUCAUCGGACCAAAGAUUUCUCGCUGUUGGCUGGGCCCGCGUUGGAUUCGCUGGUUGGUAGGGUAAAAGCAUGCCAUGGCGACGAUCCAUAGCUGGUCGGAGAGGAUGAUCAGCCACACUGGGACUAAGACACGGCCCAGACUGCGACGGGAGGCAGGAGUGGGGAAUAUUGGGGGAGGAGCGAUAGCCUGAUACAGCAAUGUCGGGUGAGUGAUGAAGGCCUUAGGGUUGUAAAGCUGCUUUACCCGGGAUGAUAAUGACAGUACCGGGAGAAUAAGCUCCGGCUAACUCCGUG